rnacentral:rRNA from 1 species
CACGGGGGGAACGAGCGUUGUUCGGAUUUACUGGGCGUAAAGGGUGCGUAGGCGGAUGGGCAAGUCGGAUGUGAAAGCCCACAGCUUAACUGUGGACCUGCAUUCGAAACUGCUCUUCUGGAGUACAGGAGAGGAGAGUGGAAUUCCAGGUGUAGCGGUGAAAUGCGUAGAUAUCUGGAGGAACACCGUUGGCGAAGGCGGCUCUCUGGACUGAUACUGACGCUGAGGCACGAAGGCCGGGGGAGCAAACAGG